rnacentral:rRNA from 1 species
GGGGAGGGGUCGGCGGUGGGUGGACAGGGAAGCGGCCGUGGGUGGGCAAGGGAGUGGCGGCGGGUGGAAGCGGUGUGGAGGGGAGGGGUGGGGUCUAGGAGAGGGGAAAGGAGAUAGAGAGAGAGGUAGUUGAACUGAGGGUCUAGGUUGAAGGGUGGCGGUGGAGGCCGCUGGAUUCCGCCCUAAGCUACCGCGGGUUGUAUGUAAACAAUGGUAGGGCAGAGCAGGAAGGGGAAAGGAGACAGAGAGAGAGGGAGUCCGUAGAAGGGAGAGAGAGUCCAUGUAGAUGUUGACGGAGCGGUACCUACCGGAGAAGUCCUCGAGGACGGCGACGACGUCAAACAAACGCAGUGGCGGGCCAGAAUAGGCGAACUGCUUUACCUUAGGACGCGGAGGUGGUCGGCGCAGGAGGAGGGAAAGGGAGGGGCGCGGUACGCCGGCCGCCGCCGGCGGACGAAGCCCGUGGCGGCCCGCCCCCGGCUGGUCUCUUCUCCCCACACCGACCGGGGCCGGGCGCGCAGCGAGCUGUCGCAGCGCCACGAGGAGCUGCGGCGGCAACCCCGCCCCCGCCCCCGCCCCAUGAGCGUCCGGUCGAUGUUGUGGAGGGACCCCGAGAAGUAAGAGAGACACAGCCCCGAGACCAGCGAGUAGUUCGCGAGGUAGUUCAGGUUCUAACACGUCUUCUGCAAGCAAUCCCUCCUUCCCGUCGGCUGCCGCGACUCGGACCACCGGCCCCUCUAGGAGAGCAAGAAGUACACGUUGUCGAAGCGGCAGAGGCUGACGCCGUUCCAGUAGUGCAACGGAGGACUGAUGAUAGCUACGGUUGCCGGCGGCGGAUGGAGAAGUAGCUACUGGUACGGUUGAUCGCGACGGACGGAGGGGUAGUUGCUGCAGCCGUUGCUGACGUGGGGUUCCACCACUCCUCCUACUCAUCGUCGUUUACUCGGACUACCACUACUUCGUGGAUUACUGAUCUUGAGAAGUUCUCGAGAAAACAGGAAGGUUUUGUUCCAGAACUACAGGGAGAAUGUCUUUUUACAAGUAUAUACAAGAACGUACUACGUACACACGUACAACCUACCAGUGUAAGAUCACAUGAUCGAUCGAUCAUUCGAACAAAACGAUGGCCUACUAACUUACAUGGAGUGACUGGCAAACAGAUAAAUAACACAUGAACGUACUCCUCCACUGAUCACUACACCACGCGGUUCGUCGUCAUCCCCUUCCCCCAGAUGAUUAGUUCCUCCGCCUACUCAUCCCCGCACGGGUUGGCCGUCGGGAUAGAACGAGUGCUCCCUCCCCGUCCUCCCCAGACGAGGAGACGAAGGUAACGCUGGCGCCGUCUAUAAAACUCAUUUAAGUUCUGCUUGCUACAAGUUUCUUCGAGGUUCUGUAAGAAUAUAUCGUUCAAUUCAUUAUUAUCGCCCCAAUAGACCCUUAAAUUACAUAGAAGAGAGAUAAACACUUACUUUAUCAUUAAUGCAUACACUAAAUUACAUAGCAGAGAGACACUUAAAGUACAUACAAAGUCUUAAUGUUAAAGACAAAGUAUACUUUAUCAUUAAUACAUACACUAAACUUUUACACACGUUACUUUUGUACUGAGUACGCUGGG